CCUUUAUGAGGGGCCCCGACUGCCANCGGANNGGACUAGGCCAAUAGAGGCGAUAUAGCAAUACAAGGCGGACGGCUCAGUAACACGUAGUCAACCUAACCUAUGGACGUGGAUAACCUCCGGAAACUGAGAAUAAACCGCGAUAGAUCAUUAUGCCGGGGGUGGGUUAUGGUUCAAACAAUUUAUUGCCGUAGGAUGGGACUGCGGCCUAUCACCUUGUUGGUGAGGUAAUGGCCCACCACGGCUAUAACAGGUACGGGCUCUGACAGGAGAAGCCCGGAGAUGGGUACUGAGACACGGACCCACGCCCUAUGGGGCGCAGCACGCGAGAAACCUUAUCUAUUUGCGAAAGACCGACCAGGUUAAUCCGAGUGAUUGCCGGUGAAGAAAUCUUUUGUCAGUGGUAAAACCACUGACGAAAUAAGGGGUGGGCAAGUCUGGUGUCAGCCGUCAGGGUAAUACCAGCACCUGGCGCGGUCAAAAGGUUUAUUGGGCGUUAAGCAUCCGUAAAAAAAAAUGCAAGUCUCCGGUUAAAUCUAGCUGCUCAACAGAUGGGUUGCCGGAGAUACUACAUAGCUAUGGAGCGGGAGAGGUGGACGGUAUUCUGUGGGUAGGGGUAAUAUCCACUGAUCCAUAGAGGACCACCAGUGGCGAAGGCGGUCUACCAGAACGCGUUCGACGGUGAGGGAUGCAAAGCUGUGGGAUUAAACUGCAUUAGAAUCCCCGGUAAUCCCCAUCCUCAAACGACCUCAACUCCGGCAGCCAUGGGUUUACGCCCAACGCCGUGCCCCCAGGAAACCUUUCUAUUUGCCCCCUUGGACUACUCACCCUCUUUCUAAAACCCAAAGGCAUCGUCCCGCUCAGCACCAUUGCGCAAUUCUUCCGGAAUUUCCACCAG
rnacentral:rRNA from 1 species